CAACAAAAGCAUGAAACCAGCCA
rnacentral:piRNA from 1 species